rnacentral:misc_RNA from 1 species
GAAAUGCGAUAAGUAAUGUGAAUUGCAGAAUUCAGUGAAUCAUCGAAUCUUUGAACGCACAUUGCGCCCAUUAGUAUUCUAGUGGGCAUGCCUGUUCGAGCGUCAUUUCAACCCUUAAGCCCCUGUUGCUUAGUGUUGGGGGCCUGCAGCGCCUGCUGCAGCCCCUCGAAGUCAGUGGCGGAGUCGGUCACACACUCUAGACGUAGUAGAUUUCUCAUCUCGCCUAUGGUUGUGCCGGCCCCCUGCCGUAAAACACCCCCCAUAUCAAAAGGUUGACCUCGGAUCAGGUAGGAAUACCCGCUGAACUUAA